rnacentral:rRNA from 1 species
AGUGAGGAAUAUUGGGCAAUGGGCGCAAGCCUGACCCAGCCAAGCCGCGUGCAGGAUGACUGCCCUAUGGGUUGUAAACUGCUUUUAUAUAGGAAGAAAAAGUUUUACGAGUAAAGCACUGACGGUACUAUAUGAAUAAGGAUCGGCUAACUCCGUGCCAGCAGCCGCGGUAAUACGGAGGAUCCAGGCGUUAUCCGGAUUUAUUAGGUUUAAAGGGUGCGUAGGCGGAAAUUUAAGUCAGUGGUGAAAUCCUGCAGCUCAACUGUAGAACUGCCAUUGAUACUGGAUUUCUUGAGUAUAGAUGAAGUGGGCGGAAUGUGUCAAGUAGCGGUGAAAUGCAUAGAUAUGACACAGAACACCAAUUGCGUAGGCAGCUCACUAAACUAUUACUGACGCUGAGGCACGAAAGCGUGGGGAGCGAACAGGAUUAGAUACCCUGGUAGUCCACGCCGUAAACGAUGAUUACUCGAUGUAUGCGAUACACAGUAUGCGUCUGAACGAAAGUAUUAAGUAAUCCACCUGGGGAGUACGUCGGCAACGAUGAAACUCAAAGGAAUUGACGGGGGCCCGCACAAGCGGAGGAACAUGUGGUUUAAUUCGAUGAUACGCGAGGAACCUUACCUGGGCUUAAAUGCAGAAUGCAUUUACUCGAAAGAGUAAUUCCCUUCGGGGCUAUUUGCAAGGUGCUGCAUGGUUGUCGUCAGCUCGUGCCGUGAGGUGUCGGGUUAAGUCCCAUAACGAGCGCAACCCUUAUCGUUAGUUACCAUCUGGUAAAGCAGGGGACUCUAACGAAACUGCCAGUGUAAACUGAGAGGAAGGUGGGGAUGACGUCAAAUCAGCACGGCCCUUAUGUCCAGGGCUACACACGUGUUACAAUGGUCGAUACAAAGAGUUGCUUCUUGGCAACAAGUGGCUAAUCUCAAAAGUCGAUCUCAGUUCGGAUCGAAGUCUGCAACUCGACUUCGUGAAGUUGGAUUCGCUAGUAAUCGUAUAUCAGCAAUGAUACGGUGAAUACGU